rnacentral:lncRNA from 1 species
AGCUGGGCUAAUCCUAAAGCAGAAGGAGAAAUUGGGAUAUAAUAGAAAAACUUAUAAUAUCCAAAAGUUCUUGGUACUUUGUUUGCUUAAGCUUAAGACCCCUCGUUAGCAUAGCACAUAGUAGGAGGUCGUUGCAAGAAAGCAGCUUCCCCCCCGAACACAGCUUACAACUUUCAUCGUACUGUAUCGCUAUAGCCUGUUUCCAAUACUCAGCGGCUUGAUC